AUGGAGGCCUUUGUUCUUUUAUGCACAGCUCGGACACUCCUUAUGGGCGCACUUUGGUUAUAACUUGGACUAAUGCAACAAUUAAUAAUGACAGAAGGGGAAAUUUGAUGAAAAAAAUUUUCUUCCUUUCUGCUGUAGGCUCAGCAAGAACUCACAAUUAUCCAAAUACAUGGUAAACUGAUUUUAACAAAAAAAAUGAAAUCAAUUAAUGCCCAGCUAGCCCUUUCUGGUAUAUAUCCAUAAAAAAACAUCGAAAAGAAAGCUAUCCUAAAUGCCAUGAACUAGCUAACUAUAUACACACAAUGAGUGUCGAUAGCUACUAUAUUAAUAGGUGCGAAGAUCCAUCAAAAGAGGUUUUACAGAGCUCUUGGUCUUGCUGGGUUGUUAUUGUGGUGAAGAGGGUUUGGUCCGGUUGGCACUUCCCUCGCCGAGUCCUCUGCAACAAUAGUUGAAGCUCUCUUUCCCAAACUCUUAACUAGAUGGCUUUCAAGAUCCUGUGCAGCAGUAGCUGUAUAAUCGUCUGCUACACCACCCUGAAAACCUGAGCACGCCAUGGUAAGACGAGUUAAGCAAAACUUCAAACGAGAGAAAGAGAGAGAUAAAGAGGGAGAGAAUUGAAGCUUACGGGUACGAGAAGAAUGGACAAAUGAUGUAAAAACCAACACCAAAAUGACCAUGGAGAUCGAAAAUGUUGAUAGAGGCUUUCCAAACGCCAUUUUUAUGAAAAGAGAGCGUUUUAAAAAACAGAGAGAAGAGGCAAAAUAUAGAUUCAUAAAACCCUUUUUGAACGCACUUUCGAUAAGCACAGUGACUCUGACGAUACUGAUGCUGCUGACGCGUAGCCGAUUUCGCUUUCUUUCGAAAGAUCGAAAUCGACCCUGUAAUAGUAAACACAAAGGUAAAUUAAGGGUUUCAUAUUUUUGGGUUGGGCAAGACGAAAUCAGCUCUGUAAUAGUAAACAAAAAGGUAAAUUAAGGGUUUCAUAUUUUUGGGUUGGGCAAGACGAAAUCAGCUCUGUAAUAGUAAACAA
rnacentral:misc_RNA from 1 species